UGGGAGCAGAUUGCGCCACGGUACAAGGAGGAGGGACCUGCCCCGAAAAUAUACCAUUCCAGGCGCAAAGGCACAAAUUCGGGGCUCUAGGCGGGUUAACGCGCGGACCCUCCCCCCUGUGCGGCAUCGUUUUAGACCUGCUGCUAACCCCCUCUUUUUGAAUCAUUUUUUAACCUAAAACAUAAUUCCUUCCCGUUUUGAAAUGAAUCAUGCUAUCAGCCCAUUAAUUUAGGGUUUCCUUUAGCAUACCGCCUCCAACAAUAGAACUUCCAGAAUCCAGAAACCAGUUUGCGGCCUCAAGAUCAUUCCUCAUACUUCGAUCUCAGCGAAGCAAAGAAGAAUCCGUGGCGAAUUUGAAAAAGUACUUGAGCCUCCGAAAAAGAUGCAUUUAGAUCCUCAAAGAAAAGAGAAUUUUGACGAUGGAAGUUUGGGAUUGGAGAUGGUUAGUAUCUAUGUAAUAAUUUAUUAUUUUAGUUCUCAAAGAUUAUUAAUAUACUAAUCAUAUCACAAUUUGACAAUGUGUAGAAUUGAAAUAAUAUAUUUAAAUUUCCAAAAUGAAAGCGGAGAAACAAUAAAUUAUCCUUAUCUCUAACAA